rnacentral:rRNA from 1 species
UGGCUCAGGAUGAACGCUAGCGGCAGGCUUAACACAUGCAAGUCGAGGGGCAGCGAGAGUGAUAGCAAUAUUACUUGUCGGCGACCGGCGCACGGGUGCGUAACGCGUAUGCAACCUACCAUCAACAGGGGGAUAACACUGAGAAAUUGGUACUAAUACCCCAUAAUAUCUCAUGCGGCAUCGCAUGGGGUUGAAAACUCCGGUGGUUGAUGAUGGGCAUGCGUUGUAUUAGCUGGUUGGUGAGGUAACGGCUCACCAAGGCGACGAUACAUAGGGGGACUGAGAGGUUAACCCCCCACAUUGGUACUGAGACACGGACCAAACUCCUACGGGAGGCAGCAGUGAGGAAUAUUGGUCAAUGGACGCAAGUCUGAACCAGCCAUGCCGCGUGCAGGAUGACGGCUCUAUGAGUUGUAAACUGCUUUUGUACGAGGGUAAACCCCGAUACGUGUAUCGGGUUGAAAGUAUCGUACGAAUAAGGAUCGGCUAACUCCGUGCCAGCAGCCGCGGUAAUACGGAGGAUCCGAGCGUUAUCCGGAUUUAUUGGGUUUAAAGGGUGCGUAGGCGGUUUGAUAAGUUAGAGGUGAAAUGUCGGGGCUCAACCCCGAAACUGCCUCUAAUACUGUUGGACUAGAGAAUAGUUGCGGUAGGCGGAAUGUAUGGUGUAGCGGUGAAAUGCUUAGAGAUCAUACAGAACACCGAUUGCGAAGGCAGCUUACCAAACUAUAUCUGACGUUGAGGCACGAAAGCGUGGGUAGCAAACAGGAUUAGAUACCCUGGUAGUCCACGCAGUAAACGAUGAUAACUCGUUGUCGGCGAUACACAGUCGGUGACUAAGCGAAAGCGAUAAGUUAUCCACCUGGGGAGUACGUUCGCAAGAAUGAAACUCAAAGGAAUUGACGGGGGCCCGCACAAGCGGAGGAACAUGUGGUUUAAUUCGAUGAUACGCGAGGAACCUUACCCGGGCUUGAAAGUUAGCGACGACGCUUGAAAGAGCGUUUCCCUUCGGGGCGCGAAACUAGGUGCUGCAUGGUUGUCGUCAGCUCGUGCCGUGAGGUGUCGGGUUAAGUCCCAUAACGAGCGCAACCCCUACUGUUAGUUGCCAUCAGGUGAUGCUGGGCACUCUAGCGGGACUGCCGGUGUAAGCCGAGAGGAAGGUGGGGAUGACGUCAAAUCAGCACGGCCCUUACGUCCGGGGCCACACACGUGUUACAAUGGUAGGUACAGAGGGCAGCUACCCUGCGAAGGGGUGCGAAUCUCGAAAGCCUAUCUCAGUUCGGAUUGGAGGCUGAAACCCGCCUCCAUGAAGUUGGAUUCGCUAGUAAUCGCGCAUCAGCCAUGGCGCGGUGAAUACGUUCCCGGGCCUUGUACACACCGCCCGUCAAGCCAUGGGAGCUGGGGGUGCCUGAAGUUCGUGACCGCAAGGAGCGACCUAGGGCAAAACCGGUGACUGGGGCUAAGUCGUAACAAGGUAGCC